rnacentral:rRNA from 1 species
CUAAUACAUGCAGUCGAGCGGAUUGAUGGGAGCUUGCUCCCUGAUAUCAGCGGCGGACGGGUGAGUAACACGUGGGCAACCUGCCUGUAAGACUGGGAUAACUUCGGGAAACCGGAGCUAAUACCGGAUAAUCCAUUCCCUCUCAUGAGGGAAUGCUGAAAGAUGGUUUCGGCUAUCACUUACAGAUGGGCCCGCGGCGCAUUAGCUAGUUGGUGAGGUAACGGCUCACCAAGGCAACGAUGCGUAGCCGACCUGAGAGGGUGAUCGGCCACACUGGGACUGAGACACGGCCCAGACUCCUACGGGAGGCAGCAGUAGGGAAUCUUCCGCAAUGGACGAAAGUCUGACGGAGCAACGCCGCGUGAGUGAUGAAGGCCUUCGGGUCGUAAAGCUCUGUUGUUAGGGAAGAACAAGUAUCGGAGUAACUGCCGGUACCUUGACGGUACCUAACCAGAAAGCCACGGCUAACUACGUGCCAGCAGCCGCGGUAAUACGUAGGUGGCAAGCGUUGUCCGGAAUUAUUGGGCGUAAAGCGCGCGCAGGCGGUUCCUUAAGUCUGAUGUGAAAGCCCACGGCUCAACCGUGGAGGGUCAUUGGAAACUGGGGAACUUGAGUGCAGAAGAGAAGAGCGGAAUUCCACGUGUAGCGGUGAAAUGCGUAGAGAUGUGGAGGAACACCAGUGGCGAAGGCGGCUCUUUGGUCUGUAACUGACGCUGAGGCGCGAAAGCGUGGGGAGCGAACAGGAUUAGAUACCCUGGUAGUCCACGCCGUAAACGAUGAGUGCUAAGUGUUAGAGGGUUUCCGCCCUUUAGUGCUGCAGCAAACGCAUUAAGCACUCCGCCUGGGGAGUACGGCCGCAAGGCUGAAACUCAAAGGAAUUGACGGGGGCCCGCACAAGCGGUGGAGCAUGUGGUUUAAUUCGAAGCAACGCGAAGAACCUUACCAGGUCUUGACAUCCUCUGACACUCCUAGAGAUAGGACGUUCCCCUUCGGGGGACAGAGUGACAGGUGGUGCAUGGUUGUCGUCAGCUCGUGUCGUGAGAUGUUGGGUUAAGUCCCGCAACGAGCGCAACCCUUGAUCUUAGUUGCCAGCAUUCAGUUGGGCACUCUAAGGUGACUGCCGGUGACAACCGGAGGAAGGUGGGGAUGACGUCAAAUCAUCAUGCCCUUAUGACCGGGCUACCACGUGCUACAAUGGGUGGUAA